GAUGAAGAACGCAGUGAAAUGCGAUAAGUAAUGUGAAUUGCAGAAUUCCGUGAAUCAUCGAAUCUUUGAACGCACAUUGCGCCCCCUGGCAUUCCGGGGGGCAUGCCUGUCCGAGCGUCAUUUCUGCCCUCAAGCACGGCUUGUGUGUUGGGUGUGGUCCCCCCGGGGACCUGCCCGAAAGGCAGCGGCGACGUCCGUCUGGUCCUCGAGCGUAUGGGGCUCUGUCACUCGCUCGGGAAGGACCUGCGGGGGUUGGUCACCACUAUAUUUUACCACGGUUGACCUCGGAUCAGGUAGGAGUUACCCGCUGAACUUAAGCAUAUCAAAAGCGGAGGA
rnacentral:misc_RNA from 1 species